AAUACUAGUAGCUUAAUUUAAAGCGCUCUGCUGAAAAUGGAGAAGAUGAUGCACUAUCCAGUGUUA
rnacentral:tRNA from 1 species